rnacentral:sRNA from 1 species
GCUGAGCUCGGUGGUGCAUGCUUGUAAUCCCAGCAGCUCGGGAGGCUGAGGCAGGAGGAUGGUGAGUUCAAAGCCAGCCUCUGCAAAAGCGAGGUGUUAAGCAACUCAGUGAGACCCUGUCUCUA